GUCGUUAGCAUCGUUAGCAAGAAAGCUAACAAGGCAUAUUAUGCAUAUUGUCAGAUCAUAAUGAAUACAUUAGUUGUAAUAGGACUUCAAACGUAUAUAGUCUAACGAGAGGAUCGCUACUCAGGGGGGGG